CAUGCAGUCGAGCGGUAACAUUUCAAAAGCUUGCUUUUGAAGAUGACGAGCGGCGGACGUUGUGAGUAAUGCCUGGGAAUUUGCCCAUUUGUGGGGGAUAACAGUUGGAAACGACUGCUAAUACCGCAUACGCCCUACGGGGGAAAGCAGGGGAACUUCGGUCCUUGCGCUGAUGGAUAAGCCCAGGUGGGAUUAGCUAGUAGGUGAGGUAAUGGCUCACCUAGGCAACGAUCCCUAGCUGGUCUGAGAGGAUGAUCAGCCACACUGGGACUGAGACACGGCCCAGACUCCUACGGGAGGCAGCAGUGGGGAAUAUUGCACAAUGGGGGAAACCCUGAUGCAGCCAUGCCGCGUGUGUGAAGAAGGCCUUCGGGUUGUAAAGCACUUUCAGCGAGGAGGAAAGGUUAGUAGUUAAUACCUGCUAGCUGUGACGUUACUCGCAGAAGAAGCACCGGCUAACUCCGUGCCAGCAGCCGCGGUAAUACGGAGGGUGCGAGCGUUAAUCGGAAUUACUGGGCGUAAAGCGUGCGCAGGCGGUUUGUUAAGCGAGAUGUGAAAGCCCCGGGCUCAACCUGGGAACCGCAUUUCGAACUGGCAAACUAGAGUCUUGUAGAGGGGGGUAGAAUUCCAGGUGUAGCGGUGAAAUGCGUAGAGAUCUGGAGGAAUACCGGUGGCGAAGGCGGCCCCCUGGACAAAGACUGACGCUCAGGCACGAAAGCGUGGGGAGCAAACAGGA
rnacentral:rRNA from 1 species